rnacentral:tRNA from 1 species
AUUUGAAUAGUUUAAUUAAAAUAUUGGUUUGUGGAACCAAAGAUAUAAUUUAUUAUUUUAGAUA